AUCCACGUUUCCUUGGGGGCUGUGUUGUUUGUUAAUGACAGUCUCCCUUCCUAGGCGUGGUACAGCAAACUCUUGCUCUUAUUCAGAUGGUCUCUGCUGACAUCAGAGCCAGGAAUAGGAAAAGGAACAAUU
rnacentral:snoRNA from 1 species